rnacentral:rRNA from 1 species
UACGAAGGGGCGAGCGUUGUUCGGAAUUACUGGGCGUAAAGGGCGCGUAGGCGGCGACCCAAGUCAGAUGUGAAAGUCCUGGGCUUAACCUGGGGACUGCAUUUGAUACUGGGUUGCUUGAAUUCGGGAGAGGAUAGGCGGAAUUCCCAGUGUAGAGGUGAAAUUCGUAGAGUAUUGGGAAGAACACCAGUGGCGAAGGCGCU